rnacentral:sRNA from 1 species
CUGUUUUUGGUCCCAAGGCUCGC